rnacentral:misc_RNA from 1 species
UUAUUCUCAAAGCUUUCAGAGUUUUGAAAGCUUUGGAUCAAUGGAGGGGAACAUUGCUGGCAACUUUUUGUGUUGGCUCCUCUUAAAUGCAUUAGUGGAACUGUCAAGGAAAUUGGCUCUGGUUUGAUAAGUCUAUGCCAUUGCUGAGAUCCUUCAGCUUCUUUAACUUGUCAUCUUGGAUGUCAUUUUGAA